GCACCCGUAGCUCAGUGGAUAGAGCAGCGGUUUCCUAAACCGCGUGUCGGGGGUUCGAUUCCCUCCGGGUGUACCA
rnacentral:tRNA from 1 species